rfam:Schistosoma curassoni strain Dakar, Senegal genome assembly, scaffold: SCTD_scaffold0012626
AUUCAACCGAUGAGCCCCAAAAUAGAACGAAACGCACGUCAUGGAU